rnacentral:lncRNA from 1 species
CUGGGAGAUAGUGCUUCAUAAAGGAGACCUUUCACAGGACUUGUUCAAUCUGACAUAUUAUCCAACAAGUUAUUUGAUUGCAACAUACGUUUUGUGAGGAUGCCUCUAUAGUGGAUAUUUAUGAAUGUCAAGUACAAGUGGAUAUGUAUGUUAAGUAUUGUCUGCACAGCUCAAACAAAGCAAGCCAAUGUAAUCAGUCCCAUCAUGAGAACCGAGCGAUUAAGGAAUCCUUUCCAGCUAAUCACCCUGGACUCCAGCACUUCCGCUGCGCUGAUUACUGAGGAAAUCAUUAGAAGAAAAAAGUGCCUGGAUCUUUCAUCGUGGCCAGCCCGACUCCAGGGAGGUCAGUGAGGGGUGUGUUUGAUAGGCCAUUUAGUCUUGCUGCUCCUAUUAUUCCAGCAUUUCCUCUAUCUGCACGCUGGAUGUGGAUGUCUUGCCUCCCCCAGACCCUAAUCAUUCCCAUACUGGUGUCUUGGAGUUUUGAGUUCACCCCAGACCUUCGUCUUCGUAGGGUUAGAGGGGCUCCUAGCUCCUAUCUCGCCCUCUCUUCCUCCCUCUUAGUCACCCCAUCCCCCCAAAACUGUCUGAUCCCAAGCACCAUGCAGCCUCUCAUGGGUACUAUCACAGAUGGCACUAACGACGUGGUCCCGAGCAGAGGAGGCGGUUCGCUGCUAGACUGGUGACAUAUGCUCGGUCGCAGGACGAUCAGCCGAGCAGAACACUGCCCAGACGUCCAAAAAGACAAUUCCCCCCCCACACACACACACACACACCCAAACACAACACAGCCCCCUCUAAAACAGACACUCACUGUCUUCUACUUCAGCCAGUGUUUUGUUUUGUUUAUCAUGGACCAGGCCCCCUCCAUUGUCUCCGCAGAACCCCCCUCUUGAUGGAUGACCUCCUAGUUCAGUGUUUAGGGUCCCU